GGGCAGAAAGUGCCAAUUUACCAGUUCACCAAGGGAAUGUGUGGACUCGCAGUGCAAAGUUAUCUCCCUAAAGUGCAGGCUUCUUUUAAUAGCCUAAUUCGUGUUCCCAGCUUGGGUCCACUCAGUCCAGCCUCAGUUAUGUUUUUAAGUCAGGGGGGAAGUGUGCUGUGAGACUGCAGGGAAGGGAUAAAACUCGCCAUUUCACAUU